rnacentral:rRNA from 1 species
AUUGAACGCUGGCGGCAUGCCUUACACAUGUAAGUCGAACGGCAGCGCGGGAACAAUCCUGGCGGCGAGUGGCGAACGGGUGAGUAAUACAUCGGAACGUGCCCAAUCGUGGGGGAUAACGCAGCGAAAGCUGUGCUAAUACCGCAUACGAUCUACGGAUGAAAGCAGGGGAUCGCAAGACCUUGCGCGAAUGGAGCGGCCGAUGGCAGAUUAGGUAGUUGGUGAGGUAAAGGCUCACCAAGCCUUCGAUCUGUAGCUGGUCUGAGAGGACGACCAGCCACACUGGGACUGAGACACGGCCCAGACUCCUACGGGAGGCAGCAGUGGGGAAUUUUGGACAAUGGGCGAAAGCCUGAUCCAGCCAUGCCGCGUGCAGGAUGAAGGCCUUCGGGUUGUAAACUGCUUUUGUACGGAACGAAACGGUCUUUUCUAAUAAAGAAGGCUAAUGACGGUACCGUAAGAAUAAGCACCGGCUAACUACGUG